rnacentral:rRNA from 1 species
UUUUAAAGCAACUAAGGGCGCAUGGUGGAUGCCUUGGCUCUGAGAGGCGAUGAAGGACGUGGUAAGCUGCGAUAAGCUGGGGGGAGAUGCACACAAUCGUUACAUCCCCAGAUUUCCGAAUGGGACAACCCGGCAUGUUGAAGACAUGUCACUCCGAAAGGAGAGCCAACCCCGAGAACUGAAACAUCUAAGUACCGGGAGGAAAAGAAAAUAAAUAAUGAUUCCCUAAGUAGUGGCGAGCGAACAGGGAACAGCCUAAACUUGAGCGGCGUGCCGCUUGAGGGUUGUAGGACCGCAUUUAGAAACCUUCUUCAAGCUGAACUUUCUGGAAAGUCAGACCAUAGAGCGUGAAAGUCGCGUAAGCGUAAAGAGAAGGGGACGAGCGGUAUCCUGAGUAGGGCGGGACCGGAGAAAUCCUGCUUGAAUCUGCCAGCACCAUCUGGUAAGGCUAAAUACUCCUCAGAGACCGAUAGUGAACCAGUACCGUAAGGGAAAGGUGAAAA